rnacentral:misc_RNA from 1 species
GAACUGCGAAAAAUAAUGCGACACGCAACACGUGAGUCAUUGAGUUUUUGAACGCAUAUUGCACCCGAGAAAAGAAACCUCGGGUCUGCCUGGCUGAGUAUUUGUAAGAAAAGGCAACCAUUAUUAAGUGGUGGUUGGCACUCGCGCUUUUGUUAGUGCGGAACUGAGUGACGGGGUCAAGCCUGUCGCAUUAAAAGUAACACAGAGAGUGGACACAUUGUCUAGUAAGCGUUGUAAUCAUCCACGGAUGUGCUCGUUUAUAGAUAGACAGGUGAACACGCGCCAGUCCUAACCGACAGGCCAUCGGAUACGCAUAGCAGCACACACACAUGGUGCAAACAAGAAUAAACAUCUCAGAUCAGGCAGGAUGACCCGCUGAACUUAA